rnacentral:rRNA from 1 species
UACGUAGGGCGCAAGCGUUGUCCGGAAUUAUUGGGCGUAAAGAGCUCGUAGGCGGCCUGUUGCGUCCGCUGUGAAAUCCCGGGGCUCAACCCCGGGCCUGCAGUGGAUACGGGCUGGCUAGAGGCAGGCAGGGGAGAACGGAAUUCCUGGUGUAGCGGUGAAAUGCGCAGAUAUCAGGAGGAACACCGGUGGCGAAGGCGGGUCUCUGGGCCGAUACUGACGCUGAGGAGCGAAAGCUAGGGGAGCAAACAGG